rnacentral:rRNA from 1 species
GACGAACGCUGGCGGCGUGCUUAACACAUGCAAGUCGAACGAUGAACUUGGAGCAUGCUCUGGGGGAUUAGUGGCGAACGGGUGAGUAACACGUGAGUAACCUGCCCUGGACUCUGGGAUAACUUCGAGAAAUCGGAGCUAAUACCGGAUAGGACCUUGCACCGCAUGGUGUGGGGUGGAAAGUUUUUCGGUUUGGGAUGGACUCGCGGCCUAUCAGCUUGUUGGUGAGGUAAUGGCUCACCAAGGCGUCGACGGGUAGCCGGCCUGAGAGGGUGACCGGCCACACUGGGACUGAGACACGGCCCAGACUCCUAAGGGAGGCAGCAGUGGGGAAUAUUGCACAAUGGGCGCAAGCCUGAUGCAGCAACGCCGCGUGCGGGAUGACGGCCUUCGGGUUGUAAACCGCUUUUAGUAGGGAAGAAGCCUUCGGGUGACGGUACCUGCAGAAAAAGGACCGGCUAACUACGUGCCAGCAGCCGCCGUAAGAC